rnacentral:antisense_RNA from 1 species
AAACAGUCAUGUGGACCUAGCCUGAGGUAGUAGCCAUAGAUGUCAGUGGCAAGACAGAAGAUUCAGUCUCUAAACAAAACCAUCAACUCUCAGAAAGAAGAGUCUAUGUCCCUGUACACAGAAUCUGGCUUGACUUUGCGACUUGCUUUCACCAAUCAAAUGCAGAAGAAGUGAAGUCUGGUCCUCAGGAGGUUUUGUACUCCUCUGCUGACUCUCCUGGGAUGCUAAAAACGCCAUGAGUCCUAGUUACGACUAACUUACAUGGCCUAGUCACCUCCAUUGUCCAAGCCAAUAGGUACCCAGCCAUCACACCUAGAGUGAGGCCAUUCCAAUCUCCAGCUGAUCUGCUGUGGAUGAGCAUGGCCAAGAUCAACUGAGCUUGGCUCAGAUGAGCAAGACUCCCUGGAUAACCUACAAUCUUGUUGGGCCAAGAAGACAUAUGUACAUAGAAAUCUUUGAACUUUGCUGAUAAGGGAAAGCCUAGAAUUCCAAGCCAACUCCUUCAUUGAAUAGAUGAGGAACAUAAAGCCAAGAGAAAAUGAUAGGCUUGAC